CGAAAAAUCACUGAUGCUUGCAUGGAUUGGUUUCUGUGGGGAACCAUGAGACCAGGGAAAAACAGGACCCAGGAGAGUCUGAGAUCCUGAGAUCCCAGGAACUCCUGCAGAUCCUCUGUGAAGCCAUCUUGAGAUCAGCAAGUUCUGCAUCGGAGCUCUGACUCCUCAAAGCUGGACCGUGGACCGGUUGUAUUGGUCUCACAUGGACGCCUAUCGGAGCCAUAGACCCACCUGGUGAAGACCCGCCCUUCACAGCAAGGCUGCUGAAGCAGUUGAACGGGAUCCCCAGGAGAGCUGAAUGCACCGACGCUGUUGAGACCCUGUGGUCCAGGCUGAAAUCAGUGGUUCUUACACUUCAAUGGGCCUCAGAAUCUCCUGAGGGGACCAAUCAGGACUCAGGUCCUCCUUUUCCUAUUCAGCAAGCAGAGGUCUCUGGAUGCUUCCUGGGCCCGCCAGGUGAUUCUGAUACACACCUUGGGCUGAAGGCUGCUGGCUUAAUUACUAGAUAUUUGCAUCAGGUGGAGGCAGACUCUACUAGUCUGAAAGUUGUGACGGCGAGACAGGCGUGAAGCUAGAAUGUAGAUGUAGGUUUUUUGGCCAGUGACCUGAGCUACUGAGUUGCGACAAUAGCUGACCCUACCUGCAGCAGAGAGGUCCCUGUGGUGUCAGCCAGGACUUGUGAGCCUGUCCCACCUGAAGGUCCACGUCUCUGAGAGUCAUCCUUCAUGGAGUGGGGAUAACUGAAGACUGCGUUUUCAACCCAAACACCAGGAGGAGAAAGGGGUGACAAAGAAUGAGAUGAUUGGAUAACAUCACUGACUCAGUGGACAUAAGUUUGAGCAAACGCAGGUAGAUGGUGAAGGACAGGGAAGCCUGGUGUGCUGCCGUCCAUGGGGUUGCAAAGAGUCAGACACCACUGAGUGACUGAACAGUAACAACACCCCCCUUGAGUGAACCCACUGUCAACAUGCAGCUGCUAAAAAAGAGAACACCCAAACCACUUCCCCUGCCUCCAAGUCCCAAAUCCAAGCAGGCAUUUAUUCAUUGUGGAAGCUCAGAUGAUGGACCCAGAUGUAACCUCAGGAUCCUCUUUAUUACAGCGUCUCAAGGACCCCUUUCCAAGCUCCCUUCUCAAUACAGCCAAGAGGCUAGAUCUCAUCAAUAAAAUCCUGGUAGGGGUGGACAGACAUGAGAGAACUGAAGAUGACACACCCUGACAAAGUCUACUAGAGAAGGAUUCAUAGUGUUACAGGAGCUGAGACUGCCGAGUGCUGAGCCGAGACUAGAAGGAAAGCGGAUCGUUCAGAGAGGAAGUCAACCCCAGAACCAGUGAGGAUGCAUAGGCCCAUAAAGAGGCUUCUUGGAGAGUUGGAGUGCACUUUGUCCUUGGCCCCGAGUGCAGCCUUCAACCUGUGACUUACUGGAGUUAGUUUAUAAAUAGCAAUCUUCCGGUUUGUCAAAUGGGAAAAGGAACCCAGAGAGAGCAAGUUUUGAAGCCUAACAUGAAACCCUAGUCUGUGUGAUCCUGAUUCCGAGAGUUUGCAGAUGCCUGAAUAAGUGCCACAGCAAGGAUUCAAAUCUGAGCUUCAAAGCCAGAUCCAGCCGCCCUUUGCAGGCAACACCAGCCAGGACCUGGGAAGGCAGAAAGCAGAUAAUACUAUCGAGGACCUGAUUUGACUUAAGAAAUGGAAAGAUUUUGCUCAUGGAGAAGAAGCUGAGUAUCCACAACUGAUUCCAGAUCUCACCAACCAUGACAUCUCAUUUCACAGUCUGUACUACAAAGUUCUUGGAGAAAACAAGAUCGAGUGUCAACUCUGCAGUGUCCGCUUUCUUGUUACUGGGCACGCUCAUUCCUAACAAGAUGGAACACACAACAGCGUCACAUCCCACCACUUGGGGGAGAUAAGGAAGAGAGGCAACGUGGCAGCCAACAGCACGCAACAUCCUACCCGUCGGCACCUGACACGUGGAGCUGGAUGCGUUUGAUUCAGCUGUUCAUGUGUGUGUCAUCUACGCAUCCGAAGUGGGCAUUAAGGAGCAUAUACAGUACCUGCCUGUCCCAAGUGCUGAGGACAGCCCUUCCAUCCAAAGGUGCAUCAAAGCUGCUCUUGGCUUUAGACAACAGGAAGUGGACUAGAUGGUAACCCGGGGCUUGGUCUGUGCCCUAUCACUGCUCAUUCCUUUAGGGCUGAAUUAGGACAGUAGCUGCCUUGCUGGGCCGCAUAUGUACAGCCAUUGUGUUUGUCUGCCUGGUAUCAUUUUUAACUUAAAAAAAGCUUUUUAAAAUUUACUUAUUUUUAUUUUUGGUUGCCUUGGGUCUUCAUUGCUAUGCGGGCUUUCUCUAGUCGCAGGGAACGGGAGCUCCUCUCUAGUUGACUAGGGCCUUCUCAGGGUGGUGGCUUCUCAUGUGGAGCACGUGCUCCAGGGCACUCAGGCUUCGGUAGUUGAGGCUCACAGGUUCUGGAGGGCUGGUUCAGUAGUUGCGGUGCAUGGGCUUAGUUGCCUCUCAGCAUGUGGAAUUUUCCUGGACCAGGGAUCAAACCGGUGUCCCCUGCAUUGCAAGGCAGAUUCUUAACCACUGACCACCAGGGAAGCCCUCCUUUUUAACUUAAAGGGCAGUAUCCAGUCUUCUUUAUAAAGUUGAGGGGAAAACACUUAAGUCUUGAAGGGACUACAAAUAAGGGUGGAUUCCCUCUCCUGGCCAGGGUGUCGACAGGUACAACAAGCCUUCAUGAGAGUUGAAUCCCUGAAAAGUGACUUAAAGAAGGAACAUAACUGAUGCUGAUUCUUCCCACUGACCUGUCCUAGAAGAAAAUACCUGUGAAUUCCCACUUACCUGAAUUUCCUCAGUUGCUCUGGAUCAUGGACUUUCCAAAGUUCGAUCCUUCAACCUUCUCUUGGAUUCUUUGACCUACCAAAUAUCCUUCCAGUGAUUUAUCUCCCUCUUCCAUUUUUAAAGAAUUGCUCCUAGUCAGUUUUUGUUGUUUAUCAUCCCCUCCAACCCUAGCUGCUCUAAUCUUUUUUUUUUUUUAACUGUUUUUUAAAGCAUACCUUGCAUACUGUUUUCAGAAUAAUCUCCUUGCUCCACAGCUGAUACACUCCUGCCAGCAUCCUCAACACUUCCAGUUCCUACUGGCCUGUGUCUCAAUUCCUCAGCCUGGCCUUUCAUGUUCAUCCCCCACCUGCUAUCUACACCUUCUCUCUAAGGAAGACAUGUGCAAAGAGUCAGAUGACAGGGGAAGUAAUCAGAAGAGGGGCCAGAGAAAUAACACAGGAGAACUAGUGAUUUCUAAUUUUAUGAAUUAGAAUUAGUGAUUUUACGAAUGUAAAAAUAAUAAAGGGGCUUCCCAGGUGACUCAGUUGUAAAGAAUCCACCUGCAAUGCAGGAUUUGAGGGUUCAACUUCUGGGUCAGGAAGCGUCCCUGGAGAAGGAAAUGGCAACCCAUGCCGGUAUUGUUGCCUGGGAAAUCCCAUGGUCAAAGGAGCCUGGGAGAUUACAGUCCAUGAAGCUGCAUAAGAGUCAGACAUGGCUUGGCAACUAAACAACAACAACAACAAAUAAGAUGUAAAGUUCUUCCCCACUCUAAACUUCUGUACUUCAGAUCUGGUCCCAACUUGAUUUUUCUUAUUGUUAUGUAUUGAGAAUAUAGCAACUUGGGGUAUACACACCCAUAUAUAUUCCCCACAAUAAAGAUGCUUCUCUGUGAAAA